rnacentral:lncRNA from 1 species
AGAUAGUUUUAUCUUCACAUUAAAGUCCUUAAUAAAAUUUUAUAAAAAUUUUGAAGUGCCACAAGGAGCACUCGCUUUUAACAGAGAAAAUAGUUAUAAAUACCUCCUAUGAGAAAGUUAUUUUGGCAUUUUGCUGAAAAUCAUGAAAAUUAAACAUGAAUCAGAUCAGAAAUCUUGCAUUUUGUUACAAAGAGUCCCUAAAUAUCUUGUUAAAAGAAGCAAUGUUGAAAUUUGGCUUCAAAUGUCUAAUUCAUUGAUCCACACAGCAAUUAUUAAAGUAAUAUGCAGUUCAUUUAUUUUGUAGAGCUGAUUUGUAUGUUUUCAUCAAAUAGGUAAGGGAGGUAAAAUAAAACAUAUAUACAAGGAAUUAUGCAAUGUCAGUAAUCAGCACUAUGUUGAAGGUAUGAAUUAAACAAACAAUAUGAAUGUCAUUAGUUGAUUAUUAGUAAUAAAUAAUAUAGGUGUGUUACUGGCAGACUGUCAAUGUAAUCUAAGGGAGUAGUUGAGAAGACUUAUUUAUAAUAUACCAUUUUACAACUCAAUAUGCACAUUUGAAAGUGUAGAGAAGCAAUAGCAGGGUGAAUUUUGUAAGCAAUAUUGAUAAUACAUAGAAUUAUAUUUCAUUUUCUAUUUCACACUUAAAGACUUUUGUUUGUGAUAUACCAUUUUUGUAUAGUUCAUAGUGUAGGGCCAGAAACUUAUGCAAGUAUGAAAUGUUUGUGAAUUUUACAAGUGAUUCAGUCUCAUUAAAGUUUCAUUGCUGCAAAUGAAUGAGUCACUAUUGACAGAACACUUAAUUCAUUUAAAUUUUUUGUGAGAGUUUCUUGCCCUGAAAACUGCUCUCACUUACAAAUCGUGAAAAUUGUUUUGUAUGCCUCCUAAGUGAUUAGGAAAAUUCCACUUCCACUUUGUUAUGAAAUAUUUUGUUUAUUUCACUUUGAUGAAAAAUGGAUUUUGUUGUCUGCAAUUGUUUAGCUUAUUUUGGUGCUUAUAAGUAUUGCUUCCAAUUUACUUUUACAAGUAAAUGUUAUUCACUUUGUCAGUUGUAGCUUCCAGAUUUUGUCUAUUCUUAUGCCUUUACGUUUUUUGAUAAUUUUAUGCCAUAUUUAUGUGUGAAUUGAAACUACUAUUUAUGCUAUGUACAUGUAAGCCACACAGUGUAAUAUUGAAAGCGGCUUUGUGCACAAAUAUGUGCUCCUUUGCCACCUUUUUAUAACAGUUUGUAUUUAUUGUAAAUAUUAACUUAUUGUCCUUACAGAUUUUCUUUUUGCUUUUAAGACAAUAUUUUAUAAUAGUUUACAGGGUGAUGUUAUUUACGUUUAGAAAGUAUGACGAAGAAAGCCAUUUAAUUGUACAUUGUGAGAAUGUAAUCACUGAUUGAUGUAAUCAUUGUUAUUUGAAUACAAAUAUAGUCAUAUUCAACAAUCGCUAUUGUCAUAUCCUAAUUUACAUUUGAGACCUGAAUGAUCAAAAACAAUUUAGCGUCGAUAUAGACCAUUCCAACUAGUUUUCCUUACAUUUAUCAAAUUGGUGUGUAUUAUGAUUAUGUAAUUACCGGUAUAACUUAUAGCAUUUAAAAACAUUUGUCUGAUUUUUAGUGGAUGACUUUGUAAAAUUUGUUUUUGUUCAUGUUGAAAAUGUAGUACAUUGUAUAUUUGGUACUCACUCCAAUACAUGUAUAUAUGUAUGAUUAAGAUGUACUAUACGCUACUCAUUCGUUGAUUACUCUUCUUUUGUAUUUCUCUCCUUUUUUCUCUGUAAGCCAUUGAGAUGAUCAUUAUUUUUUUUUACCAUGGUUUUGAGGUUGGUUUUAACAAUACUUUCAAUUAUUUGUCAUAAAUUUUCUUUCUUUCUAUAUGUUGUGUAUUAGCCUCUAUGCCCAUGCUUGUUUUAUUACAUUCUUGUACUUUGCCAGCUCUUUUUAUUCAUCUGUUUGUCUGUUUUCUCUUUCUCUCUGUCUUUCCCUUUUCUCUCUUCUCUACUGUAUACUUUUCCCUUUGUCUCUUCUAACUUUGCCUAAUUAUAAUCAUGUUUGUUUUUCUUAACUGACACAUCUGCAGAUUACCGGGUGAUGUAAUUGUUAUUCCUCAAAUUGAAAAUAGCAUAUUUGACAAAUUCAUAUCCAUUGCAAAUUGUAUCAAGAUUCUAUUCUAAAAUUUUACAUUUGUCGGAAGAGGAUAGAAAUUUGCAUUUUACAAAGUCAACAUUAAUUUUUUAAUGAUUUCCGGACUUGAAUAACAACUGAAAUUCUGACA